rnacentral:lncRNA from 1 species
CCACCUCCAUCGCCUUCACCCCCACCCCCGCUGCCAGUUUACCAUCCGCCCCCACAAUCACCACCUCCAACACCAGUGUACGAGGGGCCAUUACCACCAGUCGUCGGUAUACCAUACAUGUCUCCUCCACCACCUCCCUAUUAUUGAUUCUUUUGAGAAGUUUCCUCUUACCUUCCCUCCUCCUAAAGGAGAAAAAGAAAAUUUCAGUUAGUUUGUCUACCAUUACUGGUUCCUCUUCUUUUACUUGUCUAUUGCUCCCUCUACAUGGGCAAUUCUCAUCGCCUGAGGAUGGGAUAACAUAGAACAGAAACAGAUGUGGGGAUUGAGUAUAAUGUCAAUGCGUUCUGGUGAUGAUAAUUGUAAUGUACACGUUCCGGGUGAUAAUGGCUGUCCAAGGAGAGGCAUUCAUCGCUAGCCAAGAAGAUAAAAGGGAAAAGAAGAGUAGAAAAGUAAGACAAUUCAGGAGGGAAUGAAGGAGAAAGUCUCUCCAUAUUUAAUUUGAAUUAUUAUGGAUAUUUCGGUUGUGAAUAAAAUGGUGAGAGAGACAGAGUAGGAUGCAGGGAAAAUGUAUGUAUAGUGAUGAGAAAUAUUCAUGAAGAAUGAUAUGUUCAAUGUUUGAUGAUAUUCUGGUCUUAGAGGUGGUAGUAGCAGUUCUUCUGCUCUUGAUGAUGCUGUUUGGGAGGUCCCUUUUUCUUAUUAUUGUCUUUUUUAUCACACUUGUUUUCUUUCUAAAUUUCUAUAGUAUGAUCAGGAUUAUUCACUUUACAUUCAUUUUCAGUGCAAUUUCUUCUUUGCUUGUUCUUAGAAUUACAAAUGAAGAGAACACUUCUCUCUUCCCCCACUCUAGGGUAUUUUUUUUUUGGAUUCUAGAUGUUUUAAGAUACAGAAAACAUGUCUUAGUCAUACUGUAAUGUCUCUCUACGUUGGCAAUUCAUGUGCAUUGAAUAAAGAUCAUGUUCUGAUUCAUAAAAGUUGUGUGAUUUUGGUCUUUACAUUUGACACUAAACAGACUGGAUUCCAGCUCUAUUGAUAUGGACUCGCAAUAUCGCGUAACUUUCUUGCAUCAUCUUAGCGUUUAGUUGGAAUUAAUGGCCCAUACUAGGCAGUUAUUUUCAACGGAAUCAAAUGCCUGGAAAUUCUACUUGUUUAUCAAUACAAUGGAAAAAAGUCUAAGCCAGUAGAAGGACUUUAUGAUUAUUAAUUUCAGUUUCAUUCUAUGUCGGUGUGUGGACAGUGGAGCCUUGUUGUUUUGAUUUUCUUCUUCUUUUACAUUUGAUUAUUGCCAUGAUAUUAUUUUUACACUGGAGUAAACUGGCUUUUCUUGAAGAUCUUGAAGUAAUAAGUUAGUACAUAUUGAGUGCCUAGCGACACUUGUAAAGAGCAAGCAAUAUUUUUGAAAUAUGGAAAGCAAAAUAAAAAGCCAAUUUUGCACCAGUCUUGUAGAGAUAGCUUGGGGUAAUGAUCAUGAGGAUAGAUCUUCUUCCAUUUGUAAAGGUUUGUCUUUUUUUGGUUGUUCAUGGUAGUUAAAGCUGUGCUAAUAACUGUAGACAAAGAUGUAACUGCUCAAUGGUCCACUUAUAUUGAUCAUAUGGUCAUGGUGUACUAAGCAUCUUAUAAGGUCCACUUUUGUGAGAGACAUCUUCAAUUCUUUUUAGUACACUUUCUGACCUCUCUACAGGUCACAAAUGUGUGACAACAAUCUGUGGUGUAUUCAUAGUUGGAUGUCUGCUUUGUUGUUGAUGCCAAUAGAAAUCCCAUAUUCUUUUCCAUUCAUCAGUCGGUAGUUUCUGUUCAAAUAGUAGUUGGCAUUGGUGGGAUCACUGUUAGACUCUAGGUAAUCUUCAUUAGUAUAUCAUUUUUCUUGGAAGGCUGAAUAGCUAGUUCUUCUAUAACCAUAUUCCAUACCCGAAACCCUAAAUUAUCCUUAUGGGAUCUAUCUUAGUAUCUUGCACCAUAGAAAAUGUAUGUGCAACCAUAUCAAUAAAAGGCCAUUAUUUUGAUGUUAAACACCUUGAGAUUCAUGUAACCACCAUACCAAGAUGCAUUUUAUAGUUCAUGGUAAUGUGCUUUUACAAUGGUGCCUUUGUUGGUUUUCUCAGGUAUUCAUGAAAAACUGUCAAUGACAUAUAAUAUUCACAGUGAUAUUGUACUGAGAUCUCUAUUUAUUUACUCCUGGCCCAGUUGGUCUGUUUCCAUGCCUUUGCAAAAGUACCCCAAACCAAAACUGUUGCUGUCACUCCCCCCAUCUCUUAGUUUUGGAACUGAAGGACCCCAUUCGAACCCACUUGUUCCCACCCUACCUCAAUAAUUGGCCAUUUUAAUCUUUGUUCUUCUACAUUGUUGUAUACAGUAUUCCUGCAUUCUCCCCCGUUUUCUAUAAUCUGCUACAGUAUAAUCUUAUUAAUUUUGGUCGAAACAAAAAACAUUAAUUAUUCGCAAGGAUUUCUUUUGGCACAAUAUGUCGAAUCUUUCAAAAACCACCUCAGGAAAUGUAUAUACUUACUGUAAUUAGGUAAAGAAGGAAAUUUGGACGUUACUGCUCAUUUCCAUUCAGGAGUCCACAAAACAAAUAAUUUUAAUCCAAGAAGAGAAUUGUUAGACCAUGUGGUGAUGUGGAGAACAUACUGUAUUACUGUAUAUAGUGUUAAGAAAGAGUAUGAGAAGCAUGAAUGCUUAAAGUGGUGGUGGUGUGUGUAGUGUACCCAACUACCCACGUUUGAGAUAUGCUUUGGCAAGACUCGAGACAAGAUCACAAGAAGAAGACCAAUUGAUCGAUAUAUGGAUAUAGUAAAAAUAUAUACUGUGUGAAGAAAGAAACAUGCCUCCCUCUUCCAUGAACAUUGAUCUCUUCAUCACAGGCACUAAACCUGCUUCUGACAAAGGAAUUCCCUUCAUCACUUUUUAUUGUUUUUCCACAUAGUAAGACAGUAAGCUAGUAACAUGAUCUGCUCCACCAACAAUAUUUUUAAACUUUAAAUGUCCUUGAGACAUAGAAUCUAUUUUAUUUCUACAAGAUUUACCUGCUCAUGAAUUUCACCAAGAAAAAGGACUGCACAUUCAAAAUCUUAGUGGCACAAGAAACACAUUCCUGCUUGCUAGCUAGCUAAUUGUUCAUGCAUGUUUUAUUAAUUUUUUUCUCUUCCCUUUUGAUGAAAGGAAAAAAAUGUACAUAUCAGAGCAAGCAUAGUGAUAGUACAAAAGACUUCAUAACACUCAAAUAUUCAUUGUGCUUGGUGCAUGAUAAACUAUAUUUUGGAUUUUUGGUACUUUUUAAAGAAAUAAUAUCAGUUUUUUGACAUUUGUCUUCUCUUCUAUAUUAUUAAUUGCCAUUUUUGUGUGAUACAAGCCAUAACUAAAAAUUAAAACCUCUUUCCAAUAGAUGACUUCACUUUUGUUGUUUUCCAUUUGUUUCAUUUCAUAUCAUUGAGCCAUUGAGGUUUACAUCAUGUGCCUGCCAAUGCAGAUUUUAAGGAUAAAUGAACCUGAAAUUCACCAUGAAAUCAGUUUCAAAAUUUGUAAGAAGGUAUGAAGAAGUUCCUUUGGUUGAUUCCUUCUUCCCCUUCUUCUUGUAUCUUGUAAUAAAGCAAUAAUGAUGGCUAAUAGAAAGGAGGUGGCUAAUGAAUUAGCUUGUUGUCACCCUUCCCUACUACUUAAUAGAAAACUAACAAAAUAUGCUAUUUAUUUAUGAUAUAUAUAUCAUAAUAUCAAUACAUCUUCUCAUUGUCUUUUUCUGUAACAACUACUAUCUUUGAUGAAUGAUUAUUUGUUAGAUAUAGAAAAAGAAAGAUAUGUUAGAGUGGACCCUAAUUAUAUAUACACUCACAUGGCCUGUUACUAUUAGGGUUCUUAUCAUAACACUUAUUUUAGUUUAAGCAAUGAACCUGACUUGUUCUUAACCUCUUAUUUAUUUCUUUUAGCUAGUGUAAAUGAGAAUGAGUAUAUAUAUGAAUAUGAUUCUUAUUACAGGCUUUCCAUUAGAGGUCAAAUAUUAUAAAACCAUAUAAUUAUUAAAUCAAUGAUACUGACUCUCAAGUCUCACCACCCUUAUUUUUAAAUUUUUGAAGUUGGGUCCAACUAUAUAUAUCACAAGAUCAAUAGUAGCUACCAUGAUCUUAUAUUUCAUUAUUUCUGUUCUGUUAUCAUUUAAAACUCAACUGCCAAUUUGAUUGAUAUUCUAAAAGAUAUACAAAAUACAGAAAUAAUAAUUAUAUACUUAUUUAAAGUUUAAACUAAGGAGCAGGUUACUGGUAGAAUGUACCAACUUUUAGAUUAAGGGAUACAAUGAGUGCAACCGCCCACAAUAUUAUUCAAUUCAAUUAAGGUCAAUCACCUUUAAAUUUGUCAUUAUGGCCUAAGCAGCUCACAGUGAUGAUUAACCUCUUGAGUCUUCACUGUCAUGUUUUAUGCCUAUGGACUAUGGUUAUGGAUCAUCAAUAAACUUACUACCUUUAUACAUACUUGAUCAAAAACAAGUUCUCAUACAUAGCAAACAGUACUAUUUGAGAAUAUAGUGAAUCCAUCUUGUAAGACAUGAAAUAAGCCAAAAGAGAGUCAGCAUCUCAGCAUAAAAAAUGUAAAAUCAUGAAUGUCAGAAUGUGUGUUGGAGUUGGACAAGUCCAUUAAUCUUGGGCUGAGUUAAAUCUAUGGACUUUAAUAUAGGUUUCCAUUUUAUAUAGUAGCCCUAAAUCUCCCAGGCCACUUGUUGGGUCUUCCUUCAGUUGGAUCUGGGAGAAGUCUUUGUAUGUAGUAGGUUUUGUGGGCUGGUGCCAACAUGAAAAUGGAAGAAAUCCAUGGUUGAGUGCAGCAAGUAAUAGACACCAGCAUAACAGCAUUAUAGGCAACUAAGAAGUAAGAAUACAUGAUUGCACCACUGUGCACCACCAUACUUGUACCACAUCUCAAAUUUAGUGACCCAUCUAUAUUAGUUAUGUGUUGCAGGUGAAAAAAGUUUAAUGGAGUUUCUUGAAGAUUUUGAGAGAUGUAACAUACCUGCUACUCUGCUAGGAAGAAAAUCAUAAUAUACCUAGGAACAAUAGGCUCUUAUAACUUCGUGGAUCUUCGAGUCAGGUCCGAAUGAGCAAGAAAGAGGCCUCUUGAUAUUUUAGUAGGAACUAAUGAACAAAGUGAUUUAUAUUUAAUCAAUGUGUUUCUGGUUUAAUCUUUGGACAUCAGGGUGAAAUGUGGAUUGUAAUUUAGUUGUUGAGUCCCCUUUUAAGUAUUCUUACAAUAAACUAGGUACUCUGUAGUAUUAUAAACAAAUAAACAGGGAUCAUAUCAUAAUGUUGAAGCAGAAGACACACCACGACAAGUAAGGUUGAUUCAAUGUGACACCUGCAUAGGUCUCUAUAUUUGUAGUCACUUCUUAGGAAAGGUACUUGGACUUGGCUGCAGGUGAACACGUUCCUUAAUUAAAUCGUUUAAGGGUAGUAAUUUGUUUGAAAGUACAUUGAACAGAACCACGCAUUUGCAUAACAUUGUUGCAGUCUCAAUGCUGCGGGUGAACGCGUUUCUUAAAUAAAACGUUUGAAUGGUAUUAAUUUGAUUGAAAGUACAUUGAACAGAACCAUCCAUUUGCAUAACAUUGUUGCAGUCUCAAUCCUGACUGCACAGUAACCUUCUCAUUUUGAUGGCACAAUUUGAAUUUUGUCGAUGGAUACAGACGAAGAGAUACCUUUACGUAGAAUCGAAUAUCUUGAAAGUAAUGCAGUUCAAAAGAUAAAAGUUGAAUAAAAUUGAAAUAACUUCAUUAAUUUAUUUCUAAUAAUGCCAAAACUCGUCUCCAAUAUACAUACAUGAUACUAUCAUACCAUAAUGUUGCAAUGAAUCGAAAACUAACAUAUCAGGACUAAUUCCUGGAAGGGCACUUUGAGCUGAAGAUGAUCCGUGGUAGCUCAGCGUUAACCUACGGGUUCUAAUGCCACAAUUUCUUGUACAACUUCAGCUUUGUCUGCCUCAAACUACUUGUCUUCUUUAUCCAUUUUUAAUUCUGCAAAAAAUCGAAGAAGCUUGCUUUUGUUUGCAAUGAGUAUGUCCAUAACGUCAGUAGCCUUUCUUUCACUUGCAGGCUUGCAGCAAACUAUUUGAAAACAUGAAACGCCUCUAGCUGGAUAGUCUUGCAUGUUUCCCUCAGAAGCUUCACUAUAAUCUUGAGAUUAUCCAUUGAGUUGACAUAACGCAUCAUAACAUCUGAGCUCACAUGACUUGACAACAUCUCUCCCAAGAGCAUCAGAGCUUGUCUUUGCAUGAUAUGAUGUAGCUUGGAGACUCCAGCAGAGUUAUAUUCAGGGGAAAAAAGUCAUAAUUUCUACUAAGUUAAGGAAUUCGGCAACAACAGAUCUAUGUCUUUGUCACAAGUUCCAUGAAAGUUUCCCAAGAAUCUGACGUGAAAUCAAAAUUUGGAAGUUUUAUAUGUUCAAAGAACUUCACAAUGUGGCCAGAAUCAAAGACAUACCUAGCGAUACUCUGAUGACGCAUGAUCUUAACAUUGGACCAUAAUGCAAGGCCAAGUCCUGAUCUUCGUAACCUUGUAUGUACCAACAGAUAAAUAAGGUCUUUGUUUGCCUCCAAGUAAUCAGAAGCAAUUAAAUGAGAUCGAACAUGCUGCCUUUGCAAAUUUGUGAUGCCUUUGCAGUGUAUAUUCUCUUUGAAGAACUCCUCUGUCAUCAACUCUACCCAAGCUUGUGAAACCGGUUGAUAUGAUUUAUCUAAGUACCACACUUGUCAUGGUAUGCUUGCAAGCAUUAAUGCCAUGAAGAAGAAGUUAUUAGAACCACACUUGUCAUGGUCUCAUGGAGCACUGUAUUGGAAACCUUACGUCCCUUCCGCCCUACCAGCCGUGAGAAAUGCUGAGCAAACUGUCUAAUACUUGCACUUGUAAUCACUUGGAAAUUUUACUGGUUCUCAAGUGCUUCUUUGAAUCUAUGCAUGUACUGUACAAUUUACGUUCUUCUGAAGUUUCCUAGCUUAAGAAGCUAGCUAGUGUGCAAUAAUCCCACAUCCAAUGAUCCAAAUCCAGGUGCAGCGCUAGAUCCAAGUCAUCCAAACUAACGAAACUGCUGUGUAAACAAGCAUAGCAAAUGAUUUUUUUUUAGAAUUGAUAUCCUGGAAGUCAUAGCCAAUUCGAGUCCUGCAAACAAGAGGAGGACACCCGACAAUCCCACAGGAAAUUGAGUUAAUAAUAUCGUCACUAGGGAGCUGCCCAGUAUGAUACCUAACACCAACUUGGCUGCACCCAGGACUGCACCCGACAGUCCCACCUGCACCAUGGCAGCAACUGUAUGAAUACAGAACUGAAGUAUGGCAAACAAAUACAAUGACCAGACUUCUUAUUCUUUCUCCCAUUAUUGUUCAUUUCGAGAAUAAUCAUCCAUUUGCUGUUGUUGAAGAACUAAGAGAAGUGGAAAUAUCUCACUGGGGCAGUGUUCAGAUUACAGAGCAUCACAAACUGGUUAACGCUGGUGCUCGCCACAAAGGCAUCUUUUCAAGGAUAGAAUAUCAUAUCUAGCAAGACCAUCUAUUAGCAGCAUAUCCAUAUGCUUUUAAGAUUACGCCCCUCGGGUUCAGAUGUUCCCUAGGGAACAUCUGAAGUCUGAACCCCACUCUUUGCAAAAAAAACAUCUGAACCUCACAUUUACGCAUUGGUGCCAAAAAGUCGGAAUUUGAAAUAGAGCCACGAUAUACAUUGUUUGGAGGUUGGAAGGCCACGUUUGUUAUCAGUUAUGGAUUACCAUUAAUUGCAAGAUUUCCUCUUCGAAUCUUCUUAAUUUCAGCUUUGGUUUAAUUUAUAUGAAAAUGGAACAGCUGAAAGGUUUAAGAUGCUUGAUAUACUUACUGAAGCGCUUUUUUGCAUGCUAAAUGAGAAAGAAAACAGUGUGGCCCUUGAUUGAAAAAAAAAAGAGAAGGUGCACCCAUAUUAGUGUUUUAGUUUAAAUAUUCCAUGCGCAUAAAUAUAUAUUUCUUUCUCUAUAAUCUUUUUGUUUAUAUACAUUACUGUAAUUGAUUUGCUGAUGAGAAGACUUUUUGACUAGCUGAUGCAAUGGGGAAUGAAUCAAUGAACUGUAAAGUGAAUAAGUUGCCUUGAUCCUUUCUAGUGCCGAAUAAGAAAUUAAGUUACACAAUCUAAUUAAUUAACAUUAAAAGAUAAAUUGGAAAUUUUUAUUGGUUCUUAUAAGCAUUUUUGAAUGUAUGCAUCAUGCAUGUACUGUAAAAAUUACAUUCUUUUGAAGUUUCUUAGCUUAAGAAGCAAGUGUGCAACAAUCCCACACCCAAAUCCAAGUGCCGCGCUAGAUCCAACCAAUGAAACUGCAACACAAACAAGCAUAACAAAAGACUCUUUUUUAGAAUUCAUAUCCCUGGAAGUCAUGGCCAAUUCUAGCCCUGCAAACAAGAGGAGGACACCCAACAACCCCACAGGGAAUUGAGUUAAUAUCAUCACUAGUGAGCUGCCUAGUAUGAUACCCAACACCAACUUGGCUGCACCCAGGACUGCAACACACGCACCACUCCUUCCCCCAAACUUAUACUGACCAGCUAGUCCACCUGCACCAUGGCAGCAUGGCAGCGCUCCAAACCAGCACCCUACCAUGUUCAUCAUCCCAACAGUAACUGACACCGAUGUCGCUGAGGAAUAAUUUUUUUCAGGAAAAAGAUCCGAUGACAGCUUACACACCCCAAUUACUGAAUUCAAUACAGAAAGUGGUAAUUGAGGAAUUGUCCCCUUAAUGAACCCUUUCUUCCAAGCCUGACUAGAUAUCUUCAUAAUUUGUAUACUAGAUGGGCCAAAGUGCAUAUGUUUCACAGCAUCAGGCUUCCUUAUAAUGGCCAAAGCUACACCUAGCAUGAAAACAAUAAUGGCUGAAGGUAGAGAAAACAGUAUCUUUCUUAAUCUUGUUCCUCUAGUAGGUCUUGAUUCAUUAGACAACUCGUCUUCGGUUUCCUCCCCUGCACCACUAAUGACAACAAUUAAACAUGCACAAAAAAGAGCCAGAACUAAUCCAUCUAAGCCCAACCAAGGUCUCUCCCCCAAAGAUUUUCCCUUUGAGAAAUUUUGGACUUUUCGUACGUACUUAACUGCGCUUAAUGCGAAUGAUAAGCCUUGUGCAAGCUGGAUACCCCUGACUACAGAUAAAGGAAUAAGUUUAUAUACGAACUUCAUUAAUCCUGUGAUGCCAAGUAGAAACAAUAUACCGCCUGUACAAAUCCCAGCUGCCAUGAUCUCUGGAAGGUUGAAAUCAGAACUUGCAAUGGCAACCGCGGCAAUGGACUUCAUAGGUUGAACUGGCAUUGGAACACCAUACAUAACACCAGUGAGAAUGUUGUAAAUACCAGUGAAAAUAAGUGUGGUACCAAGAUUAAGGUCCUUAGCUAGUGUUAAGGCCAAUACUAUAGGAAUAAAUGUUCCUAAAUCACCCAUUGCUCCAUUAAGCUCUGACCAUUUUGAUUUGAGAACCAGAUUGGUCUUGACAAAACUUAAACAAUUUGUGAGAAAAACUGGAAUGGAUAUUUGCUUGAAGGUCGUCGUCUCUGAUGUAUUUACAGGGAUUUCUACAUGUUGAGAAUGGUGAUUUGAGUCAGCCAUGUUGUACAAGAGAUACAGACGAGUGUUGUGUUUGUGUAUGAUGCAGCUCCUUGUUAAAUACUCUACUCUCCUCCAUAUGGGCAAAUGCCAUUAUGCCAAUUAUUUCUAAAGUCAAAAAAGCUUUUGAGUGUCCUUUUGCAACAUGAGAGGUCACUAGAGAAGAAACAAUAUGUUCCUCUAUUUGUGCACUGAAGCAUCUAUUCUACAAAAAGAAUUUUAUAUUCUAAUCUUACUUUUUGUGAUUAAAUAUCUUGAUUUAUGAUGAAAUUCAUUACUUAUUUCAUUUGAAUAAAGAUUAUCACGCAACAAGGACAUAUGUGGUAACGGUACAUCAAGGCCAUAAAAAUAUUUUUACAAAAAAAAAGAAAA